GAAUAUUGGACAAUGGGCGAAAGCCUGAUCCAGCCAUGCCGCGUGUGUGAAGAAGGUCUUCGGAUUGUAAAGCACUUUAAGUUGGGAGGAAGGGUUGUAGAUUAAUACUCUGCAAUUUUGACGUUACCGACAGAAUAAGCACCGGCUAACCUCGUUCCAGCAGCCGCGGUAAUACGUAGGGUGCAAGCGUUAAUCGGAAUUACUGGGCGUAAAGCGUGCGCAGGCGGUUUUGUAAGACAGAGGUGAAAUCCCCGGGCUCAACCUGGGAACUGCCUUUGUGACUGCAAGGCUAGAGUACGGCAGAGGGGGGUGGAAUUCCGCGUGUAGCAGUGAAAUGCGUAGAUAUGCGGAGGAACACCGAUGGCGAAGGCGACCACCUGGGCUAAUACUGACACUGAGGUGCGAAAGCGUGGGGAGCAAACAGG
rnacentral:rRNA from 1 species